rnacentral:rRNA from 1 species
GGGUUAGUGGCGGAAGGGUGAGUAAUACUAUCGAAUGUACCCCGAGGUGGAGGAUAGGCAUGGGAAACUGUGCGUAAUACUUCAUGAUCUCGAGAGAGCAAAGCCGCAAGGCGCCUUGGGAGCAGCGAUAUUCCUAUCAGGUAGUUGGCGGGGUAAUGGCCCACCAAGCCGAAGACGGGUAGCCGGUAUGAGAGUACGGCCGGCCACAUCGGGACUGAGACACUGCCCGGACUCCUACGGGAGGCUGCAGUAACGAAUAUUCCGCAAUGGGCGAAAGCCUGACGGAGCAAUGCCGCGUGUGGGAUGAAGCGGUUUCGCCGUGUAAACCACUGUCAGGGAAUAGAAAAGAUGAUCAUUCCCAGAGGAAGGGGCGACUAACUCUGUGCCAGCAGUCGCGGUAAGACAGAGGCCCCGAGCGUUAGUCGGAAUCACUGGGCUUAAAGGGUGCGUAGGCGGACGCGUAAGUGCUUUGUGAAAGCCCUGGGCUCAACCCAGGAAUUGCAGGGCAUACUGCGCGUCUUAAGGAAGCUAGAGGCGGGUGGAACGAUCGGUGGAGCGGUGGAAUGCGUAGAGAUCGAUCGGAACGCCAAGGGUGAAGACAACCCGCUGGGGCUUUCCUGACGCUGAGGCACGAAAGCGUGGGGA